rnacentral:rRNA from 1 species
GAUGAACGCUGGCGGCGUGCCUACUACAUGCAAGUCGAGCGAAGCGGGGACGGGUGAGUAACACGUAGAUAACCUCCUAUCAGAAUGGGUUAAAUUCGGGAAACCGGAGCUAAACCGGAUCCAUAUAGAUGGAUCCGCGCUGCAUUAGCUAGGUGGUAAGGUAACGGCGUACCAAGGCAACGAUGCAUAGCCGACCUGAGCGGUCGCUCGGCCACACUGGAACGGGGACACGGUCCAGACUCGUACGGGAGGCAGCAGUAGGGAAUCUUCCGCAAUGGGCGAAAGCCUGACGGAGCAACGCCGCGUGAGUGAUGAAGGUCUUCGGAUCGGAAACCUCUGGUAUUAGGGAAGCGGUACCUAAUCAGAAAGCCCCGGCUAACUACGUGCCAGCAGCCGCGGUAAUUC